UGCAGUCGAACGGUGAAAGAGGAGCUUGCUCCUCUGGAUCAGUGGCGAACGGGUGAGUAACACGUGAGUAACCUGCCCCAGACUCUGGGAUAAGCACUGGAAACGGUGUCUAAUACCGGAUACGAGCUUCAGCCGCAUGGCUAGGAGCUGGAAAGAAUUUCGGUCUGGGAUGGACUCGCGGCCUAUCAGCUAGUUGGUGAGGUAAUGGCUCACCAAGGCGACGACGGGUAGCCGGCCUGAGAGGGUGACCGGCCACACUGGGACUGAGACACGGCCCAGACUCCUACGGGAGGCAGCAGUGGGGAAUAUUGCACAAUGGGCGCAAGCCUGAUGCAGCAACGCCGCGUGAGGGACGACGGCCUUCGGGUUGUAAACCUCUUUUAGUAGGGAAGAAGCGAAAGUGACGGUACCUGCAGAAAAAGCACCGGCUAACUACGUGCCAGCAGCCGCGGUAAUACGUAGGGUGCAAGCGUUAUCCGGAAUUAUUGGGCGUAAAGAGCUCGUAGGCGGUUUGUCGCGUCUGCUGUGAAAACUGGAGGCUCAACCUCCAGCCUGCAGUGGGUACGGGCAGACUAGAGUGCGGUAGGGGAGAUUGGAAUUCCUGGUGUAGCGGUGGAAUGCGCAGAUAUCAGGAGGAACACCGAUGGCGAAGGCAGAUCUCUGGGCCGUAACUGACGCUGAGGAGCGAAAGCAUGGGGAGCGAACAGGAUUAGAUACCCUGGUAGUCCAUGCCGUAAACGUUGGGAACUAGAUGUAGGGACCAUUCCACGGUUUCUGUGUCGCAGCUAACGCAUUAAGUUCCCCGCCUGGGGAGUACGGCCGCAAGGCUAAAACUCAAAGGAAUUGACGGGGGCCCGCACAAGCGGCGGAGCAUGCGGAUUAAUUCGAUGCAACGCGAAGAACCUUACCAAGGCUUGACAUAUACCGGAAAAGUUCAGAAAUGUUCUCCCCGCAAGGUCGGUAUACAGGUGGUGCAUGGUUGUCGUCAGCUCGUGUCGUGAGAUGUUGGGGUUAAGUCCCGCAACGAGCGCAAC
rnacentral:rRNA from 1 species